AUACCAUCUGGCUCUGAGGAUAAUCAAGCAGGAAAGAGUAUUUCAGACAAGGUACAACGGCGUCUAGCACAGAAUCGUGAAGCUGCACGUAAAAGCCGUAUGAGGAAAAAGGCUUAUGUUCAGCAGCUUGAAAAAAGCAAUUUGAAGCUAGCACAACUUGAAAUGGAACUUGAGAGAGCUCGACAGCAGGGACUAUACAUUUUAGGUUCAAAUGGUAAUAUGGGGCUAAGUUCAACAAUUAAUCCAGGAAUAGCUGCAUUUGAAAUGGAAUAUAGUCUCUGGGUUGAAGAGCAACAAAAAAAGAACGUAGAGUUGAGGAACAUAUUGCAAUCCCAUGUAAGCGAAAUGGAGCUUCAGUUGCUGGUAGAAACCGUCUUAAACCACUACUACAAUCUAUUCCGAA
rnacentral:misc_RNA from 1 species